rnacentral:rRNA from 1 species
UACAGAGGGUGCGAGCGUUAAUCGGAAUUACUGGGCGUAAAGCGUGCGUAGACGGUUAUUUAAGUCGGGUGUGAAAGCCCCGGGCUCAACCUGGGAAUUGCAUUCGAGACUGAAUAGCUAGGGUACGGUAGAGGGAAGUGGAAUUCCGGUGUAGCGGUGAAAUGCGUAGAUAUCGGAAGGAACAUCAGUGGCGAAAGCGACUUCCUGGACCAGUACCGACGUUCAGGCACGAAAGCGUGGGGAGCAAACAGGA